CGCGGCGCGGGCGGCUCUGCAGUUUCUCCCGAGAAGCCCGCGUAGCCUAGUGGCUGUUUCAAUUCCUUCGUUGCGCUCGUGCAGGACUGCCAGCCGUCAGAUUGAAAUGGAGGGUGCAUAAAGGGGCGCAGGGCAAGCCGUGCCUUGUCUAUGGCAAGGCACUGGAUCUCGUUCCCGUGGCGGCCUGGCACGGGCGGAGCUUUCAUUCUGUCUCUUCCGAUAAAACAAGGGUCAAAUGCAGCCUGUGAUCUGCAAGCGGCGGCAACACACUUGCGCAUCAUGACACCGAUACGCACGCGCAGCCGCAGCCAGACGUACGUUUCAUAGCAACAUGUAAAAGCAAUCUCCUGAUAAGCACCCGUCUGUCCCUUAGCGAUGUGAGUCCGUUUUCAGGUCGCCCUCUUGGCCUCUUGGUUGAUUCUUGAAGGCUUGAAGCUAGCAAGACUACCUACAUAGCUGGGUCCUCAGUCCUCACGGCAGAAGUUUUUCGUAGGAGGAGAACAUGGGGGAAGGAAGGAAGGAAGGAAGGAAGGGCAAUGGGAAGACCGUGAAAGCUACACUUGUUGCUGUGGUUGGAUUUCGAAGGAUUUGGUUUUGACAGUGACAUGGUCGAUGGUGCAUUAGUUUUCCACCGGAUAAACAUACUGAUGGAGAUGCUUCGUCAGAUACAGCAGAAUUGUGGAAUGCAGACUUUAUCACUUACAGUGCGUAGCUUUGCUUGAUUGCUUCGCAGUCAGCCAGUCAAAGAUCAAGAAAAUGUGUGGUGAGAGUACUAAAAUAUUUCUUGGGUGGUUAGCGAAGAUUGUUUUACCCUUGCCUUCUGUCAGAGAAGGUUAUUGGUGUGUACCCUUGCCUAUCAGAGAAGGUUUUGAUGGUUUCUCCUGUUUCA